rnacentral:lncRNA from 1 species
AACCCUUUCAAAGAGAGGCUGCUAUACUUAACUACAUAGGGCUCCGGGAAGCAAGGAUGCUGAUCUUGUCCAUUAUUUAAAAAAAAAAAAAAAAAAAAAACCCACACUAUACAUAUGUGAAUAGUCACACAAUCAGUAAUGUUAUUUCUUUGUGCAUGAUGGAAAAUGGACAGAUGCAUAAAGUUUGCGUUCCUUGCAGGACAUCCACUUAAUAGGGCAGAAAACCUGUGAAUUCUUUUUCUCUGAGUGAAAACGAGGCUCUCUAGUCUUUUCUCUGUAAGACCAACUGAAAAAAAAUACUGAGGUCUGAGAUCACCAUCACAGACACCUGAAUGACUAUCUACAUUGGUUCAUAGCACAAGCAAAUCUGUGCUUGCUAGUGGCUUUCAACUUAAGACGAAAUGUGAUGUCCACUCCCGGCUCACAUUAAGUUAGGGCAGCGCACACAACCAUCCCAUUGCUGGGUAGGAAGGAUUUCUCAAGUUAGGUGGGUCCAGACCGGACUGCUUGAAUUAUUUUCAUUGUUGUCACAGGCUGUGAAGUAGCCCUGAAAGGCGAGGGCUGCGAGAUGUGCGUGUGCACGCGCGUGAGGGCUGGUGUGUGCUCGUGUGAGUGCGUGCGCUUGUGAGCGCCGGUGUGUGCUCGUGUGCACGCGUGAGUGUGUUCGUGUGAGCGUGCAGGGGCUGUGGAGUUCGGGGUUUCGUGAGUGGGAGCAGGUGGCCGGCCGGGCGGGGGCAGAAGGCCAGGUGAGGGCGGCGGAACGGGGGGCGCCCAGCUCAACCGGGGGCGGGCGUCAACCGCCGGGACGCGGGUUCCCCGCGCGCGAGGGCGCGAGGCCGGCGGGGAGGCGCCCGCCAGCCGCGCCGGGUCACGUGGCGCGGUCACGUGGCGCGGAGCCGGGCCCAACGGCGGCGGCGGUGGCGGCGGCGGCGGCGGCUGAGGGAGGCGGAGACUCGGCCGAGACGCGGGGGGGAGGCGGCGGCGGCGGCGGCGGCGGUGGCGGCGGCGGCGGCGCGGGGCUGCUGGAGGCGGAGGCGGAGAGGCGCGGAGGAGCGCGGGGCCGCCGCCACGGGCGCUCGGAGGUGAGGCGGGAGCGGGGCCGCUGUCACGGGCGCCCGGGGCCGGGCGCUGCCGCCCUCCCUGGCGAGGAGGCGACGGGCCCCAGCGCCGCCGGGAGCGCCCUCCCGAGCCCGGCCGGGCGCCCGUCCCUCGAGAUUUGUAAGACUCCAGGGCCUUCAAGCUGUGAUCAGUCAGACGGUUCCUGA